rnacentral:lncRNA from 1 species
AAACAUAAUUCAUAGCUUUAUGGCCCCACCACAAAAUAGAAGAAAAAAGGAAUCGGCUUCUUGGUAAGAGCCUUUGGGAUUUGAAUAAGAAAACAUGUGAUAACCUGCACACCCAAUGUUUUCGGCGCAUGUUGAGUAUGGUUAAUUUUGGUUAUUGGUUUUUCUUGAACUCGUCCCUUUUAUUGGUUCCUUGUUCUUCAGUGAUUUCCUCCUUUCUUUAACAAUUGGGACACCAGAAAUAAAAAGAAUGAGUGCACAAGAAAUUGGUCAUUGGGACGACUUCUUCCCUUUUUUGAUGUAAAUAUCUUGGUGUAACAAUAAGAUCACUCGGUUGUUCUUCUGUGAUCGGAAAUAAAAAGAACGCGUGGACAAGAAAUUGGUCAUUGGGAUGCAACAAUAAGAUCACUUGGUUGGGUUCGAACAUGAAAGCUUCUGUGCUUGCAUUUUUAUGUUUAUAAACCUCUCUAUGUAAUGAAUAUCCAUUUAAAGUUCCGAGGAGUGGGAUGGUACCCAUUUAUGCUUCUUUUAGACUGAAUACUGCAUUUCUGUGUAAUAAUCAAUCCCUCAAGUUGAAAAUUUGUUAAAUUUAUGGUCCAGUAAGCAUCUAUGUUAAUUUCCUUUGAUUCUAUUUUAUUUUCUUCUUUACAAUUUUAUCUGUAGCCUGUGUGUUUGAAAUAUCUUCGCCCAGACAGUGAGCUUCAAGACUGUGCUCUCCAGGUCAUGGACAUGCUUCGUUCGGAUACUACUUGUAUCCUGUGAUAUAUUAUGUGGCUUUACAACAAUGAUAUCUUUUCUCGUAGAUACUAUCUUUACAUUUAUGGGUGAUAUAUUCUUCGUAUCAUGGCCAUAUUUCUAAAAUGCAUUUGUUAUAUUAUACUUGGUAUUUCAUGAUGGAAGGCAGAAUAAUAAAUUGGAGCUAAUAAGCAAAGAACUUUUCUUGAUUGGCUUAUGAACAAUCACAUUCAAAGGCAAGCAGAAGCAAUGGAGCAUGAACAAGAAGCAAUGACAGAACUCAAAUUAUUGGAAGAGCAGCCUUUGUUGAAUCAGCUUCAAGUUUUUGGACAAGAUUUGCAUCCGUCUACAAGUUCAAUGCCAUUGUUCAACUUGGUACUCUUAUCUCUUGAUACACACUCCGAUCGCCUGCCUAGAGAUUAAUGACCUUAUUUUGUAAUUAGGAUCUAAGUUUUCUAUAACUCAUAUCAGAUCCCUAUAUUGUAAUUGUGAGAUGAAUUACAAUAGUUAUUUUAUGGCAAUGUUGCGGGUUUUAUGUUUAUUUUUAUGGAGUAAUGAAAUUAUUAUCAAAUUCUAG